CGUGUAGGUGGAUCUGCAAGUCAAAUGUGAAAACCGGCGGCUUAACCGCCGGCCUGCAUUUGAAACUGUGGAUCUUGAGUACGGAAGAGGAAAGCGGAAUUCCUGGUGUAGCGGUGAAAUGCGUAGAUAUCAGGAGGAACACCGGUGGCGAAGGCGGCUUUCUGGUCCGAUACUGACACUGAGGCGCGAAGGCCGGGGGAGCAAACA
rnacentral:rRNA from 1 species